rnacentral:sRNA from 1 species
GCCGGGGGCGUCAGGCUCUGUGUUGGUUGGAGCGAGCAUGUGGGUCUGCAGUACCCUGUGGCGGGUGCGAACCCCCGCCCGGCAGUGGCGGGGGCUGCUCCCAGCUUCUGGCUGUCGCGGACCUGCCGCCUCCUCCUACUCCGCAUCCGCCGAGCCUGCCCGGGUCCGGGCGCUUGUCUAUGGGCACCACGGGGAUCCAGCCAAGGUCGUCGAGUGUACAGCCUUGGCCUCAAAGGAGCCAUUGUGACCUUAUCCAGGCUGGGAUCUGUUGAUUGAGGACAGUGGCAUCCCCUCGAGUUGCAUGGCGCCAUUACACUCACGGAGGACGUGAACGGGUCUCCUGUUGCCCAGGCUAGAGUGCAGUGGUCAUUCACAGGUGUGAUGAUGGUACACAAUAGCCUUGAACUGAGCACAAGCAACUCUCCUUCCUCAGCCUCCCAAGUAGCUGGGACUACACAGGUAUAACCAGGGAAUUGUUUCAGAGGUUUCCUUGGAU